rnacentral:rRNA from 1 species
AGAGUUUGAUCAUGGCUCAGAAUGAACGCUGGCGGCGUGCUUAACACAUGCAAGUCGAGCGAGGCGAGGGGGGCAACUCCCUCAGCCGAGCGGCGGACGGGUGAGUAACACGUGGGUAACCUGCCCGGAAGUGGGGAAUACCUCGGGGAAACUCGAGCUAAUACCGCAUGACAUCUUCGGGACGAAAGUCCUGACGAUCAAAGCGGGGUCGCAAGAUCUCGCGCUACCGGAUGGGCCCGCGCCCGAUUAGCUAGUUGGCGAGGUAACGGCUCACCAAGGCUUCGAUCGGUAGCCGGCCUGAGAGGGUGAUCGGCCACACCGGAACUGAGACACGGUCCGGACUCCUACGGGAGGCAGCAGUGGGGAAUCUUGCGCAAUGGGCGAAAGCCUGACGCAGCAACGCCGCGUGGAGGAUGAAGGCCCUUGGGUUGUAAACUCCUGUCGGCUGGGAAGAAAUCGUGCGGUGCUCAUACCACCGCGCGUUGACUGUACCAGCAAAGGAAGCCCCGGCUAACUCUGUGCCAGCAGCCGCGGUAAUACAGAGGGGGCCAGCGUUAUUCGGAAUUAUUGGGCGUAAAGGGCGCGUAGGCGGCCACGCGUGUCUUUCGUGAAACCCCUCGGCUUAACUGAGGACGUGCGGAAGAAACUGCGAGGCUCGAGUCCGGGAGAGGGGGGUGGAAUUCCCAGUGUAGCGGUGAAAUGCGUAGAUAUUGGGAGGAACACCGGUGGCGAAGGCGGCCCCCUGGACCGGUACUGACGCUGAUGCGCGAAAGCGUGGGGAGCAAACGGGAUUAGAUACCCCGGUAGUCCACGCCGUAAACGAUGGGCACUUGGUGUCGCGGGUAUCGACCCCUGCGGUGCCGAAGCUAACGCAUUAAGUGCCCCGCCUGGGGAGUACGGUCGCAAGGCUGAAACUCAAAGGAAUUGAC